rnacentral:rRNA from 1 species
GAUUGUAACGCGUGGAUAACCUGCCCUUUAGACCGGGAUAACGCCGGGAAACCGGUGCUAAUACCGGAUACGUUCAGCUGGCUGCAUGGGCAGCUGAGGAAAGGAGUAAUCCGCUAAAGGAUGGGUCCGCGUCCCAUUAGCUUGUUGGUAGGGUAACGGCCUACCAAGGCGACGAUGGGUAGCCGGCCUGAGAGGGCGACCGGCCACACUGGAACUGAGACACGGUCCAGACUCCUACGGGAGGCAGCAGUGGGGAAUCUUCCGCAAUGGGCGCAAGCCUGACGGAGCAACGCCGCGUGAGUGACGAAGGUCUUCGGAUUGUAAAACUCUGUCCAGAGGGAAGAAGCAAGUGACGGUACCUCUGGAGGAAGCCCCGGCUAACUACGUGCCAGCAGCCGCGGUAAAACGUAGGGGGCGAGCGUUGUCCGGAAUUACUGGGCGUAAAGGGCGUGUAGGCGGCUUGGUAAGUCAGUCGUGAAACCUACCGGCUCAACCGGUAGCUGGCGAUUGAAACUGCCGGGCUUGAGUGCAGUAGAGGGGAGUGGAAUUCCCAGUGUAGCGGUGAAAUGCGUAGAUAUUGGGAGGAACACCAGUGGCGAAAGCGGCUCCCUGGCCUGUAACUGACGCUGAGGCGCGAAAGCGUGGGUAGCAAACAGGAUUAGAUACCCUGGUAGUCCACGCCGUAAACGAUGGGUGCUAGGUGUUGGGGGUAUCGACCCCUCCAGUGCCGCAGUUAACGCAAUAAGCACCCCGCCUGGGGAGUACGGCCGCAAGGCUGAAACUCAAAGGAAUUGACGGGGGCCCGCACAAGCGGUGGAGUAUGUGGUUUAAUUCGACGCAACGCGAAGAACCUUACCAGGUCUUGACAUCCCCUGCC